rnacentral:rRNA from 1 species
AAUACUAUUGUUUCAGAUCGUGAUACUAAAUUUCUUAGCCACUUUUGGAGAUGUUUAUGGGCUAAGUUGGGGACUAAACUGCUUUUUAGUACUACUUGUCACCCCCAAACUGAUGGACAAACUGAAGUAGUCAAUAGAACGUUGUCUACUAUGCUUAGGGCUGUUUUGAAGAAUAAUAAGAAAAUGUGGGAGGAAUGCUUGCCUCAUAUUGAAUUUGCUUAUAAUCGUUCAUUGCAUUCUACUACUAAGAUGUGCCCUUUUGAAGUUGUGUAUGGUUUCCUACCUCGUGCACCUAUUGAUUUGUUGCCUCUUCCAUCUUCGGAGAAGGUUAAUUUUGAUGCUAAACAACGUGCUGAAUUGAUUUUAAAAUUGCAUGAGUUAACUAAGGAAAACAUUGAGCGUAUGAAUGCUAAAUAUAAACUUGCUGGAGAUAAGGGUAGAAAACAUGUUGUGUUUGCACCUGGAGAUCUUGUUUGGUUACAUUUGCGUAAGGAUAGAUUUCCUGAUUUGCGCAAAUCAAAGCUAAUGCCACGUGCUGAUGGUCCCUUUAAGGUGUUAGAGAAAAUAAAUGAUAAUGCAUAUAAACUUGAGCUGCCUGCAGAUUUUGGGGUUAGUCCCACUUUUAACAUUGCAGAUUUGAAGCCUUAUUUGGGUGAGGAAGAUGAACUUCCGUCGAGGACGACUUCAUUUCAAGAAGGGGAGGAUGAUGAGGACAUCAAUACAAUUGUUACACCCACAGCCCCUGCUGCUAUACAUACUGGACCAAUUACUAGAGCCCGUGCACGCCAGCUAAAUUACCAGGUACUUUCGUUUCUUGGUAAUGAUUCUAAUGUUCAUGAGAAUAUGAUGCUGCCUAAAUUGGAUACAUUUGUUUUGCUUACAAAUGAAGGGCCUAGCUUGGAGAAGGAUGAACAUUGGAGCAAGAACAAGCAUGGAGAUGAUGGCAUGCGCAAGGGGAACAAGAAC